rnacentral:rRNA from 1 species
CCUACGGGGUGCAGCAGUGAGGAAUAUUGGUCAAUGGACGAGAGUCUGAACCAGCCAAGUAGCGUGAAGGAUGACUGCCCUAUGGGUUGUAAACUUCUUUUAUAUGGGAAUAAAAUGUUCCACGUGUGGGAUUUUGUAUGUACCAUAUGAAUAAGGAUCGGCUAACUCCGUGCCAGCAGCCGCGGUAAUACGGAGGAUCCGAGCGUUAUCCGGAUUUAUUGGGUUUAAAGGGAGCGUAGGUGGAUUGUUAAGUCAGUUGUGAAAGUUUGCGGCUCAACCGUAAAAUUGCAGUUGAAACUGGCAGUCUUGAGUACAGUAGAGGUGGGCGGAAUUCGUGGUGGAGCGGUGAAAUGCUUAGAUAUCAUGAAGAACUCCGAUUGCGAAGGCAGUUCACUGGACUGCAACUGACACUGAGGCUCGAAAGUGUGGGUAUCAAACAGGAUUAGAUACCCCGGUAGUC